rnacentral:rRNA from 1 species
UACGAAGGGGGCUAGCGUUGUUCGGAAUUACUGGGCGUAAAGGGCGCGUAGGCGGCCCGCUAAGUCGAACGUGAAAUCCCCGGGCUCAACCCGGGAACUGCGUCCGAUACUGGUGGGCUUGAAUCCGGGAGAGGGAUGCGGAAUUCCAGGUGUAGCGGUGAAAUGCGUAGAUAUCUGGAGGAACACCGGUGGCGAAGGCGGCAUCCUGGACCGGUAUUGACGCUGAGGCGCGAAAGCCAGGGGAGCAAACGGG